GCUUGUCUCAAAGAUUAAGCCAUGCAUGUCUAAGUAUAAACUGCUUUAUACUGUGAAACUGCGAAUGGCUCAUUAAAUCAGUUAUAGUUUAUUUGAUGGUACUUACUUACUCGGAUAACCGUAGUAAUUCUAGAGCUAAUACAUGCAAAAAGCCUGGACUUCUGGAACAGGCGUAUUUAUUAGAUAUACAAACCAACCGCUUCGGCGACCCUUGGUGACUCAUAAUAACUUCACGAAUCGCACGGCCUCGUGCCGGCGAUGUUUCAUUCAAAUUUCUGCCCUAUCAACUUUUGAUGGUAGGAUAGAGGCCUACCAUGGUGGUAACGGGUGACGGAGGAUUAGGGUUCGAUUCCGGAGAGGGAGCCUGAGAAACGGCUACCACAUCCAAGGAAGGCAGCAGG
rnacentral:rRNA from 1 species